CUUCCCAUCGUCCUUUCAUGGGGUUCACGGAAAAAUAGCAUAUACCUUGACAGUGGGCAUUAAUAGACCGUGGCAUAUGUCCAAGGACUUUGUGACAGAGCUUAACUUUGUAAACCACAUUGACACCAACCAGCCAGGGUUGAAUGCGCCACUCUCAGGUUCAAACAGCGUGACACCGUGUAGCUUGUGAUGUAACUCUAGUCCCGUCACUAUGACAGUCAGUGUAGCGAAGAAAGCUUUCACCCCUGGUGAAACAGUGAAAAUAUUUUGUGAAUUUAAUAACCCUUCAUCUAAAACAGCUACUCCGAAGGUGAAGCUGCAACAGAAACAGACUUUCUACACCCACAGUAAGCACAACAGGAAGAUGGUUAUCAAAAAAUUUGGCGUAUGUGACAGGAGAACCUGUUGGUGCUCAGGCUACUUAUGUACGCACUGAGAUCAUGCUCGCUAUUCCCUCGUCUGCAUCUUUAACCAUCUCAGAUUGCAGCAUCCUGGUUGUUGAUUACAUUAUUGAGGUUAAACUCCACGUUGGAGCAUUGGAUGAGGUCGUUGUGCUGUUUCCAAUCAUCCUGUGUGAUACCCCUGUGCAAACUUAUCCCCCAGUAUGAUUCAACACAAGGUGUUUUUGGGGAUCCAUAUGGAGCCACUGCUCUUCCUACAUGUGUUACUGUUCAUAUGCCAUUCAUAUGUUGAUGACGUGCAGUUGUACAUGUUAAUUUCCUCUGAUGACCUCAAUGCAUCUUUCAUUUUAUCUUAACCCUUUUGUUUUUUACCUGUUUACCUUUUUACUUUAAAUGACUCUAACUUAGAUACUGUUUGUGCUAGAGACAAAUUGUGAACAGUUUACAGUUUCUUUUAGUCUGCUUCACAGUUUACUGAUAUCUGGUGUAUUGUUAAUGAUACACCAGAUAUCCCUGUAAAGUGGGAUAUCUGGUGUAUCGUUGAAGCACAAAGCAUUCACAAGCUACUGCUGUCUGAACACAGACAGAAAAAUCAGCUCUGCCUAGAUCUUAUCGUGUGCUGAUGAUGUUUGAUGAAUGGUUAAUGAAGAUGAUACAGCCUAUCACCAUUUUUAGUAGGCAUAAAUAAUAAUAGGCUGCUUAGCUGUAGGUUCAAGACCCCUGACAUGCAUCCAAAAUGGGGAAUUUAUAUCUUAUACAGAGUCUCAGGAAGUGGUUGAUGCAUUCAUCUCAGUUUGGAUAUUAAAAACCAGUACAGUGACUUUAUAUUAUUAUCAGAGCCCGAGUUUGCACAAACACAGAAAUCUGGACAUUUGAAUAUCUGGUGACUACAAUGGCAUCCAGUAGAUUGCAGUAAUACACUCAAAAUCCUUUUAAUAGUCAAUAGAGCGCCUUUAUGCUUGUCCUCUUAGUCCGGCGAUGACUUACUCAUUUAUUAAAUCCCACUAAGGCCUCUAAGGUCAUCAGGCAGAGGUCUUGUAACAACACUCAGAAUAAGAUCCAAAUCGGGUGCAGGUGGCUUCAGUAACUGUGGUCCUACUCGCUCUUACAGAACUUCAAAUAUAUUCCCACACCUGUGUCAGAAGACUGUGUAUAUUUGUAUGCUUUUAUGUGUGUGUAUGUGUGUUUACUGAUGCUUCUUGUACAGUUUAUUACAUGUGUGUUAUGUGUUUUGAGUGUUAUGUUUGAUGUACAUCAGGUUUAUGCUUUAUUAUCUCAAAUUCCACUUUUUUUUAAUCAUGCCUACAGCCGUCUGUUACCAAUUUUCACAUGUUAUUGUGAAUGUAUUUGUGUAAGAUGUGCUGUACUGCAAAGCUGCCAUGGUGCGCCUUGGCUAGACGUGAUGUCAUGAGUUACAGCGAAUAUCACUGCAUUCGGGUGAAGGUCAAUAAGUGUUGGCGUAAGUUUAAUAAAAUCCUUGACCUUUCCAUCUCGGAGAAAAUAUGUGAUGGCUGUCAGAAGUUUAAUAAAUCAUACUACGGAGUUUCUAACACUAAAUUUUCAUGGAGAGAGCCAGUAUAAACUGCAAGACUGGAGGAGAAUAGCCAGGUAAAGGAUGUUAAAACUGGAAAGUCUUAGAACUGGAAAUCUUUCUUUCUAUCUACAUGAUGUGAAUAGUCUGUGGCGAAGUUUUUCAUCAUAGUGACUGAAGAAAAAGGAGACUUGUGUAACAGUGUCUUAGUCCAGUUUUGGACAAAUUAUCAAAUUUAUAAAUGUACAUAUACACAAAAUAUUCUGGCAUGCUGCAUGUUAUAUUGUCAUCAUAUGCAUUUCGACUGUUUAUAAAAAUAAAAACAAUUAGUAGAAUACA